GGAUGGUCGGCGAAUUUGCCAAUCUUGCUUUGGUAAAUGUCUUGAGGCAUGAAUGUUGAUGAGGUUACGUGAUCAAACGCUCGAAGCAGUCAAGCUAGCAAGCAAGGAAAAAAAAGUUACUAAAGUACGUGACGUAUGUGUGAUGCUGGCUCAGGGAAAAUGUCAUCUUGCAGCAUCGUGAGGGUCCAGUGUCUCAGCCAUUUGCUUUGAUCAGUGCGAGGCGAAGGUCUCGGACUGUAAACUGCAUGAGCACCCGUCCAAAUAAGACACAAAGGCCUCAAAACACAACCAUAGCGACAGACAGAGAUCCAGCACAGAGCUUUUAAAGGAUCGGAAUCUUUGAGAGGGCAGAAGAAAGAAGCGUUCGGUGAUAAGGUGUACCUGUAUUUGUGAGGCAAUAAAGGAGAGGUCACAAACAACAGGAAGUGGAGCAGGGGGAGUGAAAGGUAAACAGGAACUGUUGUCAUAUGUGGAACUGAGACAGUGAUGAAUACAAGAAAACAAACACAUCUUUAUGUAGGUGUUCACAGGGCUCACGGUCUUCAAGCCACCAGCAUCUGAUAUCAUGCACAAGUUCUUGCUGAAGGACCUAAGUUCUCUUAGCCGGAGGCUUGAGCACCUGCACGCAGUGACCGCUGGUGGCUCUAGGACAAGAGGUUUGAUUGACAGCAGCCCCGGCUGGAGUGUUAUUCAUCAAGAGGAUGUAACACACACUGAUAGACGUCUUUAUACAGCUGUCAUUCCAAAGCUGUCUGUUCUUCAUCUCAGAGUAAAAAAAAAAGGUUGGUAGUGUAUAGUAAAUAUCGUUAUCUUAGAAUGAAAACCAUUGCGUCAAUGAGAGAUACUCAGUAGAGCUAAGGUCAGCAUGGAUCACAGAUGCACUGGUCUGACAGCACAACUCCAGAGCUGAGGCUUAAGAAAGCAAACACAACCUGCAGACACCCGUCCUGCCUGCUGCACACUCUUCUACUGACUCAUGUGCUUCACAGAUCAAGAGCAGAACUCUUCCAAAGACCCUUUCCAGGCACAGAUUAAGCCUGACCCCGGAAUAAAGUCCUCCACCAAUAGAGAUCCUAUUUAGAA
ensembl:lncRNA